AAAUUAACCAAAUUUCCACUCAAAUCGAAGGACAAAUUUGGGGGUUUUCCUCAGAUCUUCCUGGUGUGACGUAAUAAAUGGAGAUAAUUUUCACAAAAUUGCACCAUGGGGGAUCCUUUUUCAAUACGGGUGUCCCUACAUAUGUUGCAAGUUGUGUGCCAGAGGUAAGGUACAUUGACAAGGACCACUUUUCCAUACUAGAAUUGUUAUUUUAUACUAAAGAAUUAGGGUAUGAAGCUGUUAGGGGUUUGAUUAUCAAGAUGCAGUAACUAAUCAAUUCAAGUUGAUUAAAAGUGACAGACAUCUCUAUGAACUAGUUAAAGAUUUAAAACAUGAGGACUUUAUUGAUUUUUAUGUCUAUCAUGUUUUAGAUGAACCAAUUUUUGACCCUGAUGGUCCCACUGAUUUUUACCUGCACCUGAUAUUAUUGAGUGUGCAGACCUAGAAAGAGAAAAUGUUGGUGUUGGUGAUAGUGCUAACAUAAAAAGGGAACCUGUUGGAGUAGAGGAAGGGAGGGAGGAUGAUGUAGAUGAUGUUGGUGUACAAGGAGGUGAUGAGGCUGAUGUAGAAGAUGUUGGUGUACAAGAAGGUGAUGAGGCUGAUGUAGAAGAUAUUAACCUAGAAGAUGUUGGUGUAGAAGGAGGUGAUGAGGCUAAUGUAGAAGACAUUAAUGUAGAAGAUGUUAAUAGGUUAACAAGUGAGUUAUCAGAUUAUUUGAGUAGUGAUUCAGAUCUUGGAGAUAUUCCUUCAGAAGAUGGCUCAGAUGUUGAUGAGGAGUUGAGGGCUUUUAGACAAGAAAGAAGGAAAAAAAAGCCAACAACAGAGAAAGAAACAAAAAAACAAAAAAAAAGGGUGUUGAAAUCAAAGAAGUACCUGUGGGAGUUGCUAGUUGUGUAGAUAGAGGCUUUGGGGAUAUUGGUAACAGUAAGGCUACCAAAUAUUCUGGAAAGUUGGGUGGAGAUGAGGAAUAUAUUGAUAGUUCGGAUUAUUGGAGUGAAGAUAGUGAAGAGAUAGAUGUAGAUGUUGUUAGAAGAGUAGAUCUACCUAGAAGAAGGAGAAGCAAGAAAACUAGGUAUAAUGAAAAUUGUGAGUUUUCUGUGUUUGAAGCUUGGAAUGAUUUUUACGGGUGCAAAUCAAUUUAGAAAAUUUGUUGCAGAUUAUGCUGUAGAGUAUAGAAGGUAGGUGAAGUUAAAACCUAAUGAAAAACAUAGAAUAAGGGUGAAGUACAUUGCAGCUAAUUGCAACUGGUUGCUGUUUGCUUCUACGAUUGGGAUUCAGGUGAUUUUAUUGUUAAGAACUAUAACCUUAUUCACAAAUGUAUACCUCUAAACAAGAACAAGAUGUGUGAUUCAAAGCUGGUUGCUAGAAAGUUCAAGGACAGAAUAGCUCCUCAGCCAUACAUUAGGAUUUGGGAAAUUCAGGGUUUAGUAAGAGAGGUGUUGGGUCUUUAUGUAGGUAAAACUAUUUGUUAUAGGGCUAAACAGAUUGUUACGAGGGAGAAUAUGAGAGAUUGGAAGCUGGAAUUUGCCAGAUUAUGUGACUAUGCAGAUAUGAUCAAGAGAACAAAUCCUGAAAGUUCUUGUUGGAUAAAAAUUGACAAAGAAACUGACCAGGAAAGAACCUCUUUGUUUAUUUCUAUGUGUGCUUUCAUGCCUUCAAGCAAGGAUGGUUAGAUGGGUGUAGGGAAAUUAUUGAUUUUGAUGGAUGCUUUCUCAAAGGAGUUGUAAGGGUGAGUUGUUGGUUGCUAUGAGGAAAAAUGACAACAACCAAAUGUAUCCUAUUGCAUGGGCAAUUGUGGAUACUGAAACAAAACAUAGCUAGGACUGGUUCAUAAGGUAUCUGAUUGCAGAUCUAAAUCUGGGAACUGGUGAAGGCUUGACUGUAAUGUCAGACCAACAAAAGGGUCUUGUUCCUGUUUUGAUGUAUCUGCUACCAAAUACUGAGAGAAGAAUGUGUGCUAGACAUAUUUGGAGCAAUUGGCAUGUGCACUGGAGAGGAGAAGAGAGAAGGAAAUACUUUUGGAGAUGUGCAAAAGCAAGCUUUGAAGUAAAGUUUAGAGAGGAGAUGCAAGUAAUGUCAAGGCUAGGUAAGAAAGAAAUAACUGAGGACAUGCUGAUUAAUCCUCCUACUUCUUGGUGUAGGGCAUAUUU